rnacentral:misc_RNA from 1 species
UACGUAGGUGGCAAGCGUUGUCCGGAAUUAUUGGGCGUAAAGCGCGCGCAGGCGGUUCGUUAAGUCUGGUGUGAAAGUCCCCGGCUCAACCGUGGAAGGUCAUUGGAAACUGGGGAACUUGAGGGCAGAAGAGGAAAGUGGAAUUCCUCGUGUAGCGGUGAAAUGCGUAGAGAUGUGGAGGAACACCAGUGGCGAAGGCGACUUUCUGGUCUGUAACUGACGCUGAGGCGCGAAAGCGUGGGGAGCAAACAGG